rnacentral:ncRNA from 2 species
CUAAAUUCCCGGCCAGACGGUCCUCCUCCCGCAAAGGGGGAGGCUAAGAGGGAAUGCGGUGCGGCUUUCCGGCCAACUCCGCAGCUGUCCCCGCAACUGUAAGCGAAGAGCCGAAGGCCGAAAACCACUGGGGAUAUCCCGGGAAGGCGGCCAAGGCGACGACUCGCGAGCCAGGAGACCUGCCGUCUGACGAAAAUAUCC